rnacentral:rRNA from 1 species
GACGAACGCUGGCGGCGUGCCUAACACAUGCAAGUCGAGCGAGAGACUUCGGUCUCUAGCGGCGGACGGGUGAGUAACACGUGGGUAACCUGCCUCAUAGAGGGGGAUAGCCUUCCGAAAGGAAGAUUAAUACCGCAUAACAUCAGAUUGUCGCAUGGCAGUUUGAUCAAAGGAGGAAUCCGCUAUGAGAUGGACCCGCGGCGCAUUAGCUCGUUGGUGAGGUAACGGCUCACCAAGGCCACGAUGCGUAGCGGACCUGAGAGGGUGAUCGGGCACAUUGGGACUGGGAUACGGUCCAGACUCCUACGGGAGGCAGCAGUGGGGAAUAUUGCACAAUGGGCGAAAGCCUGAUGCAGCAACGCCGCGUGAGUGAUGAAGGCCUUCGGGUUGUAAAGCUCUGUCUUUGGGGACGAUAAUGACGGUACCCAAGGAGGAAGCCACGGCUAACUACGUGCCAGCAGCCGCCGUAAAAC